UACAGAGGGUGCGAGCGUUAAUCGGAAUUACUGGGCGUAAAGCGUGCGUAGACGGUUAUCUAAGUCGGAUGUGAAAGCCCCCGGGCUCAACCUGGGAAUUGCAUUCGAGACUGAAUAGCUAGGGUGCGGUAGAGGGAAGCGGAAUUUCCGGUGUAGCGGUGAAAUGCGUAGAUAUCAGGAGGAACACCGGUGGCGAAAGCGCUCAUCUGGCCCAAUACUGACGCUGAGGCGCGAAAGCGUGGGGAGCAAACAGG
rnacentral:rRNA from 1 species